rnacentral:rRNA from 1 species
GACGAACGCUGGCGGCGUGCUUAACACAUGCAAGUCGAACGGAAAGGCCCUGCUUGCAGGGUACUCGAGUGGCGAACGGGUGAGUAACACGUGGGUGAUCUGCCCUGCACUUCGGGAUAAGCCUGGGAAACUGGGUCUAAUUCCGGAUAGGAGCCAUUUUUAGUGUGAUGGUUGGAAAGUUUUUUCGGUGUAGGAUGAGCUCGCGGCCUAUCAGCUUGUUGGUGGGGUAAUGGCCUACCAAGGCGGCGACGGGUAGCCGGCCUGAGAGGGUGGACGGCCACAUUGGGACUGAGAUACGGCCCAGACUCCUACGGGAGGCAGCAGUGGGGAAUAUUGCACAAUGGGCGCAAGCCUGAUGCAGCGACGCCGCGUGGGGGAUGACGGCCUUCGGGUUGUAAACUCCUUUCGCUAGGGACGAAGCUUUUUGUGACGGUACCUAGAUAAGAAGCACCGGCUAACUACGUG